AUGGUGCUCGUCAACGCCUGGGCCAUCAGCAGGGACCCGGUCUACUGGGAGGCCGCGGAGGAGUUCGUGCCGGAGAGGUUCGAGUGCGGCGAGGCCGCCGACUUCAAAGGCGCGGACAUGGAGUACACACCGUUCGGGGCCGGCCGGCGGAUGUGCCCCGGGAUGGCGUUCGGGCUGGCCAACGUGGAGCUCGCCCUCGCUGGGCUGCUGUACCACUUCGACUGGGAGUUGCCGGGCGGAGCGGAAGGCGGGGAGCUGGACAUGGCGGAGGAGAUGGGCGUCACCGUGCGCCGGCGCAACGACCUCGUGCUUGUCCCCGUGGCGUGA
rnacentral:rRNA from 1 species